rnacentral:rRNA from 2 species
AUGGCUCAGGACGAACGCUGGCGGCGUGCCUAAUACAUGCAAGUCGAGCGGACAGAUGGGAGCUUGCUCCCUGAUGUUAGCGGCGGACGGGUGAGUAACACGUGGGUAACCUGCCUGUAAGACUGGGAUAACUCCGGGAAACCGGGGCUAAUACCGGAUGGUUGUUUGAACCGCAUGGUUCAAACAUAAAAGGUGGCUUCGGCUACCACUUACAGAUGGACCCGCGGCGCAUUAGCUAGUUGGUGAGGUAAYGGCUCACCAAGGCAACGAUGCGUAGCCGACCUGAGAGGGUGAUCGGCCACACUGGGACUGAGACACGGCCCAGACUCCUACGGGAGGCAGCAGUAGGGAAUCUUCCGCAAUGGACGAAAGUCUGACGGAGCAACGCCGCGUGAGUGAUGAAGGUUUUCGGAUCGUAAAGCUCUGUUGUUAGGGAAGAACAAGUACCGUUCGAAUAGGGCGGUACCUGACGGACC